UGUGCACAUAUAGUUUUGCUCCUAAUAUUGUCCAUUGGGACAUUUAGACCCCGAGUGACUUAUUGGAAGUCAUUCAUAAAGAAUUACCACAUUAAGAUCUUAUUUAGAGUGAAUAAAACAUUAUAAUACAUGGAAGGAAAUGUUUACUAAGUGAAGACAUAACCGCCAUGAUUCAUGUGUUUUAUCUUUCUAAUUAAGAAUAAAUUUUGAGCAGUUUGUAAUUGGUGGCCAUAUAUAUUCGGUUUUUGAAUUUCUCAACCCAUACAGUCUUUUAGAUGUGCCAUGUGAGCCAAGUGGGAGAAUAUAAGCAUACGUCUCCAUGUAGGAGGCUUAACGUGGCCCACAUGCCACAUCUAGUUUUUAAAUUAUUAUAAUUAUGUAAUAGUAUUAUUUUAUUCAAAAAUCAUAUCUGGGAGUUGAGAUUUUAACGUAACUGCUUGUAACCACUCAAUUAGAUCAUGUUAACGUUGAGGGCUAGUUAACGUUGAGUGGGUAUCUCCACUUCCUUGAUGGAAGGAAAGUGGGUGAGAUAUUCAGGUGGAUAUGGGUCUUGGCCUGUCUAUAAAAUUGCCUGUGAUUAUCCACCAGGUCACAUACUUAUGGAAAAUAGACUAGGCUGAAAACUCUAUCCUUUACUCUCCAUACAGACAGUGAGGGUUGUGAGGUUUGCUGGGAUUUUAUCCAACUAAUCUCUUGGUUCUCUAAUCAGCUUAAACAACUAUGGCUGGAGGUCAGUCCGUAUUAUAUAUGAUUGUCUUUUCUUCCGCUUAUAGUGUUAUUAUUUCUCCCAAGUUUCUUUCAUUGGAUCCUUAGCCUGAUGAGGACGCUGGAGCUUAAAUGAAGAAAGUAUGUGAGAAUCCUUGCGGGUGUGUGUUUAAUUCUACAUC
rnacentral:lncRNA from 1 species